rnacentral:sRNA from 1 species
UAGCAGGUAUGUUGCGGUGUACUAUAGA